rnacentral:rRNA from 1 species
AUACGGAGGGUGCAAGCGUUGUUCGGAAUUACUGGGCGUAAAGCGCGCGUAGGUGGUCUGUUAUGUCAGAUGUGAAAGUCCACGGCUCAACCGUGGAAGUGCAUUUGAAACUGGCAGACUUGAGUACUGGAGGGGGGAGUGGAAUUCCCGGUGUAGAGGUGAAAGUCGUAGAUAUCGGGAGGAAUACCGGUGGCGAAGGCGACCACCUGGCCAGAUACUGACGCUGAGGUGCGAAAGCGUGGGGAGCAAACAGGAUUAGAUACCCGAGUAGUCC